rnacentral:rRNA from 1 species
AACAAACGCUGGCGGCGUGCCUAAUACAUGCAAGUCGAACGGGGAAAGCUUUCGGGUGAGUACUAGUGGCGCACGGGUGAGGAACGCGUGGAUAAUCUGCCUUAGAGUGGGGAUAACUAGUCGAAAGAUUAGCUAAUACCGCAUAAGACCACAGGAGCUGCGGCUCAAGGGGUCAAAGGUUUUUCGCUCUAAGAUGAGUCCGCGUAAGAUUAGCUAGUUGGUGAGGUGACGGCUCACCAAGGCGACGAUCUUUAACUGGUCUGAGAGGAUGAUCAGUAACACUGGAACUGAGACACGGUCCAGACUCCUACGGGAGGCAGCAGUAGGGAAUAUUGCACAAUGGAGGAAACUCUGAUGCAGCGACGCCGCGUGAGUGAUGAAGGCCUUCGGGUCGUAAAGCUCUGUCGCAGGGGAAUAACACAAUGAAGGUACCCUGUAAGAAAGGAUCGGCUAACUUCGUGCCAGCCGCCGCGGUAAAAC